AAUGCUGCAGAAAGAAUGAAAGCGGGGCAUGCUAAUCUGAUUUGUUUCGAGAGGCUUCUGAUAAUAAAGAGGCAUAUCACAGGUGUUCCCAAUCAACCCGGUUUGGUUUAAAAUAUAUCUCUCUCCCUCUUUAAAAUUAGGAUUUCCUGUAACAUAGACAAUGCGAGGGUCAGCCCGAUGACCUCUGUCUAUGUUUGGGGAUCAACCAUGAAACUGUGGGUGUUGGAAAUAUGUUAUAAUACAUGACGUUUUUAUUGCAGGUUUCGACCUUUCAAUAGAGAGCUGAUUUUGGAGGACGGCUUAGUCCUGUGAGUGAAAAACUCUUUCUGGAAGGUUGAUGGAGCAGGAGCAUGAGCAUUUCGAUUGCUGUCCAUCACUUCCACAGAAGCCUCAAUAUUGCCAUUCCAAAUGACUCUCUUUAUUUUUGUUUGUUGACAUGACUGCAGUGAAGGACUGGUGCACCUCCUACAACAGAACAUGCAAGUCAGGCAAAGACUGUGAAGAAGCCCUUUAGUCCUAAAUAUUCAUGUCAACUAAAGCAGCUAGCGGAGAGGGAUGGCAGAAUAUUUGACUUGCAUCUAUUUUAAAAUAGCUCUUGCUUGGAGGGGGCCUAGUGGAGAGACCUAAUGGAGUUAUCUGUACACACGAUCCCCUGUUUUUAUCGAGGCCUCCUCAGUAAUUUGUCCCCCAACAACUGAAGUCAUAAGGAUAGAGACCCUUUUAGCAGAGGCUGUCCUGAUGUAUUACUAUGGGAGCAAACACUGGAAAGAAGGGAAGGAAAACUUACCAAACUUUCGUACCUGUGGCCUGCGAAACUGCUUUGUGCUUACACAGAUAGUCCUGUUAAUUUAAGAGGAUGAUUUCAUCCUGCACUGGCUAGAAGACUCUUCACAGUGGAAAGAAGUACUUGGGUUGAAUCUGUGGGAAUCUUUCAUUGAGACAAUUGAAAUUGUUGCAGUGAGAAUGGAAAUUACUUGGGAUCCUUUUCUUUUAAAAGCUGUAUGCAAGAACUGUGUGGUGAGUCAAACUUGGGCUAAUGGUUAUGUAAAUGUCACUAAUUUUAGAUACAGGCAAGAUCUGAAAGUGUUUCCUUUCAGAAUUUUAUUUUCUUCCCUGUCAUGACUCAGUAUCACUUGCUAAUCUUGUUUUAUUAGCCCUGUUAUAUAUUGCCAUUAAAACACUUAUUUGAAGACUGCAUGUGUUUUACAAGUUGAAGUUUAUACAUCGUGUAGAUGUUUCAAAUUGAGGGGGGGAAAAAAGGCUUUCUGCACUGGGGAUUUCUUUUGACUCCAGAGAUCUGCUACUGGCGCAGCUGCACAGGUACAAACAAGAUGUAGAUGAAUAUGAAUGCAAGUUGUUACAAUUCAUAAAUUUGCAUUGCUUUACCACUUGGAUGUUCAGCCCGAUAUACAUACUGUUGAAAAGUCACCUUUUUUUUUUUUCCUGCCCCUGCUGUGGAUUUGAAAUAAUAAAGCCUACUUUUGACUAAAACUUUCUAAUUUAGUUCAGCCCGAGCACUUCUCAAUAUUAAAGUUAUCCAGUACUAAAUAGCCCACAGCUUCUCUUAAAGUAUCUGUGCUUCUGUGUGCCAUUUACCUACGAUUUGUCUCUUGAGAUGCACAGCCAAAAUGAGGUUGACUACUCAAAAAUGGUUAUCUGGCUCAAAGUUGGAUAACUUAUCUGUAACUGUGCACUGCUGCAGACUGUGGUGUUUGCAAAGGGCCAUCCAUGCUGUCACUCCCAUGGAUCCAAUAUUUACUAUCUCUGGGCUGUAUCUCUGAAGUUUCAGAGAGCGUAGAUGCAAAUCUAAAAAGCCAAUCAGAAAGAUCUGAGAGCAUGCAACCAACAGAUCUGUUUGGCAUGGCAUUGCUGUGUGAAUGGUGAAACAGACUGCUUUUUUCUGGUUCUCCAUGCAAACCCCUAUACUGGCACAAGGCAGAGAGUGGGAAGCAGCAGCAGUAUGAGCUUGCACUGCUUUGUUUAGCCAUAAAGGCUAAUGGGGAUGAAAAUACAAUUUGAGCACUUGCAGAAACAAGACUCAAACAAGGAAUGAAAGUUCCAGUUUAGUUUGAUUGUCAAGAGAAUGAUUUUGAGUGCUUGUGAAGACCUAUCCGUGUUAUUUGGUUCUAAACCUUUGAAAAGAAUGUCACCUUUUUUGCAUGGUUCAUAGUUGCCUUAAAUAUUAGCUAUUAUGUUUUCCAGAGAUAAACCUGCAAGGAUGCACUGUCUCCAGUGGUGAAAUGGAACUCUCCUACAUUUGCAGCUCUGAGGUCCUAUGGAUUUUGCCUGAUUGAAGAAAGAAAGGUGUAUUAUAUUCAAUCCAAAUGCUUAUUUUUCUGCUAGUCUUAGGAACUGUGAGGGGAAGCAGAUGCUUAAUUCAUAAAUAAGGGAAAUAAAAGAAAGGCCUGCUUGAAAAUAUCUUGAGAUUAGUCGCUAUUCAAGAGCGAAGACAGCUGGUGAGAGGAGCAUGUCUGAAACUCCUGUGUUUGAAAGAUUGGAGCUGCAAACUGGUAGGGGAAAGAGAUGUGAAAUUGGAAAGGUGGAAGGACUGGUAAAGGUUGGGCAAUGAUUUAGGGAUUUGUUUGCUUCUUGAAGAUGGAAGAAGCAGCAGCUUAGUAUCAGGAAGGGUUCCUUCUGCUGUAAAGAGAAAGCAGGGGAAAGCAGGUCAACGUUAAUAUUUAUUAGAAUGCUUAGCACUUGAGUCAGGCUGUGACAUAGUAGUUUUUGCUAUGUUUUGCUAUGAAAUCACUGUCACUUUCAUUUCUCAUCCAAAUCCACAGAGAAAAGGAUGUCUUUAUUACUGCAGUCAGCUACUUCAUGAAAUUUCAUCCUGAAAAGGCAUUUCAAAAAUUACAGAGUAGGUGAGGUGCUACUGGAGAUCAUCUAGCCUAAGCAGAAUCAGGCAGAACAGGCCUCUCAGGGCUGUAUCUGAUCUUAAUUUGCCCCCUUGUGUUAGUCUACUACGAAGCAAUCUUCGUGAUCAUAUGGAAUAUUCAGUGAUAGUGUGGUGUGCUGCUGAGUCAGAGAAGGUGUUUGUAGGCUGUACAAGGAAGAAGCUCAACCCUGAUACAGGAAUAGGUUGAAAAUUCUGUAGGGAAUGGACUAAAACCCUCAAGCAGAAGAAACUGUGUCUUCAUGUUUACAUGAAAUGAGAAAUCCUAGGAAUUUGAUGUUAUAUUUAUUUUUCUGUUUUUAUUUUUGUAUGGUGUACAAAUUACUAGGCCAUUGAUUUUUGUAGUUUGUUCCUCAUGUUCCUCACUUCACAGGUGGCUUUAAGCCGUCAUGUCCAAUGGAAACACUGGAAACACUGGAUGCAGCUGAUCUGCUUAAGAAUUGUAAACAUGAAUUUAAACUUUAUGUAAUGUUAUGUCUGCCUGUAGUCUCCUACAUAUUUCAAGUGGGAUACCUCCAAGUGUUGGGCGCUACUGUAGUUUCUGUGUCACAUUUUAAAGUAGGGAUGAUAGUCACUUGAAGGGAUGUUUUUCUAUUUUUGCUUAUUUCAAGCUUUGUCUAUUAGUUGUGCUACAGGGAUGUGUUUCCUCAUGGGAUUUUCUAUGGCAUUUAUGACUUCAGAUCGCAGAGGAAGAGGCACCACGUUGAACCAUUGGUACCUGUGCAUCUGAUGUUCUUGUACAUGGGUAUUGUUCUGCAUCACAUGUGGAAGCAACUGCUGUAAAUCAGUGCAUGAGCAGUGUUAAUCUGUCCAGCCCUUUGUUUUCCAGACUGACAGUGACUGAACAGAGCUCUUCAUUAGCCUGUGAUAUAGCAGGAAUUUGCUAGUAGGGUGACUGCUUUCCACUGUGCAACUGGAUUGGAAGCAAAGGCCACCAAAAGGAAAUGUCCAAGUUAGCGGAAGUAUCACCCCAGUGCAGCUAAGGCAGUGCUGGUAUCCAGACCUUCAAUGCUUGUCUGUGCAGCCACCAAAAGCCCAGCUACUGUUUCCAGAUGUGAGGUAUCACGAAGACUGCCUCAAUGUCUGGAUCCUGCAAUGGCUCACUUCCUAGUGCAGCAGCCCCACUGCUCUGGGAUUCUACUUGUGCGUUAUAAAGCAGAGGAGAAUUCACUGCACAUCCAGAAGUAGGCUGGGUUUCUGGGACAGUCUGCAAAUUUUUUCUGAAUGCAAUGAAGAAUAAAAAGGCAACCGUAAGUGGACUUAAAUUAGCAAAUUUUCUACGUUCUUGACAAAGAAGUUCUCUUGAGAAAGUGGCCAAUGAGUUGAAGAAAUAGAAUGUCAGUGAUCACAAAUUCCAAGUUAACUGGAAAAAAAUUCUAAGCGUUUCAAAAACUUCUAUUUAAUCAAAAAUAGAGGUAGCUGUGAGCAAUCAGAGCCCCUAGUUGUCCUGUAUGAAAAAAACAUGACCAAAUCUUCUCCACCACGCUUCUAGUCCAGCAGAGAUUGUAUUGGGAGAUGCCAUACCUUGUGGACCUGCCAAGAUGUGUGUGAAAUUAGUCAGUUUAACAUGUCAUCUGGUUUUGACCAAAAGGCUUGAAAAUCACCCAGACUUGUGGUUAAUUGGCUCUGAUCAGCCAAAUUCACUUCUCCCUCUGCAACUACUACCUGCUGGGGAAAUGCACCAGCGUGAAAGGCUCUGCUGCUGAUGCACUUGUUGGAUAAUUGCCAUACACACAUGUGCUCUCAUACUUCCUAAAGCAACUAUAAAGAAAAGAAGAAAAAGAAGGGAAGGGGAGAGGAGAGGAGAGGAGAGGAGAGGAGAGGAGAGGAGAGGAGAAACAGGUGCAAAAAUGACACAUCUCAGUUCAUUGCUAAGAAUAAAUUACAGAAAAGCUUUGGAAUCUUGAUUUACUAAUUUUCAUAUGCACAGGUUCUUGGUACAUGGCCCUAACAGGUCAAGAUAAAGUAUUUAUGGUUCUUUACAGGACAGGAACUUUCACUGGGGUGUUCUUCCACAGCCAAAAUAUUAGGUACGUAAGAUGGUGUUUGUGCUGGAUAAAAGUUAACCCAUGAGGGUGAUCUUUCCCCUCUACUCAGCACUGCUGAGGCCACACCUGGAGCACGGGGUUCAGCUCUGCAUCCCCAGUACAAGACAAGUACUAGACUUGGAAGAGAGAGUCCAACAGAGGGGCACAAAGUUGAUGAUGGGACACAAAAACUUCUAUGAGGAGAGGCUGAGAGAGUUGGGACUGCUCAGCUGCAGGGGGCUCAGGGAUCCCAUCAAUGUCCAUAAAUACCUGAGGGAGGGUGCCGGAGGCCACAGCCAGGCUCUGUCAGUGGUGCCUGGUGCCAGGACCGGAGGCCAUGGGCACAAACUGGAGCACAGAAGGUUCCCUCUGAACACCAGGAGACCUUCUAUGCUGUGCAGUGACGGAGCACUGGCACAGGCUGCCCAGAGGCUGUGGGGUCUCCUUGGGGAUCUCCCAGAGCUGCUGGGACGUGGCCCUGGGCACCCUGCUCUGGGACAGGGGAUGGAGAAGAGGGACCCAGGGAGCCCAGCCAGCCUCAGCCGUGCUGCAAUGUGUGAAAUGGUUGUAUCAAAUUUUCAUUUUGCCAAAACCACAGAGUAUGAGUAAUGAUGUAGGUUAAAACACAUAUAUUUCUUUUUCCUUACUUUAAAAGAGUUCUCAAUGUUCAAAAUGGCUGUUACAGCACUGAAAAUAAACUCUGCUUCUGCAGUAGGUGAAAUAGCCUAAUUUUAUUAGUAGAAAGUCUAAUGAAAGGCCUGUGCUCAAAGCAUUAACAUAUUGGUUGACAUUAUUGACAAAAAAAUAGAGUUUGAAGCGAAAGCAUACAGGUUGACGUUCCAUA